rnacentral:tRNA from 1 species
GGCCCCGGUAGCUCAAUCAGGUAGAGCUCCUAGCUGCUUGCGGGUGGUUACGCGUUCAAAUCGCGUCCGGGGCCACCA